UCCGGACGCUUAUCAACACCGAGAGAUGAUGACGAGGCGCUAAGGUGCCGAAGUAACCGAUACCACACUUCCAGGAAAAGCCACUAAGCGUCAGAUUAUAAUAAACCGUACUAUAAACCGACACAGGUGGUCAGGUAGAGAAUACUCAGGCGCUUGAGAGAACUCGGGUGAAGGAACUAGGCAAAAUAGCACCGUAACUUCGGGAGAAGGUGCGCCGGCGUAGAUUGUAGAGGUAUACCCUUGAAGGUUGAACCGGUCGAAGAUACCAGCUGGCUGCAACUGUUUAUUAAAAACACAGCACUCUGCAAACACGAAAGUGGACGUAUAGGGUGUGAUGCCUGCCCGGUGCUGGAAGGUUAAUUGAUGGCGUUAUCGCAAGAGAAGCGCCUGAUCGAAGCCCCAGUAAACGGCGGCCGUAACUAUAACGGUCCUAAGGUAGCGAAAUUCCUUGUCGGGUAAGUUCCGACCUGCACGAAUGGCAUAAUGAUGGCCAGGCUGUCUCCACCCGAGACUCAGUGAAAUUGAAAUCGCCGUGAAGAUGCGGUGUACCCGCGGCUAGACGGAAAGACCCCGUGAACCUUUACUAUAGCUUGACACUGAACCUUGAAUUUUGAUGUGUAGGAUAGGUGGGAGGCUUUGAAGCGGUAACGCCAGUUAUCGUGGAGCCAUCCUUGAAAUACCACCCUUUAACGUUUGAUGUUCUAACGAAGUGCCUGGAACGGGUACUCGGACAGUGUCUGGUGGGUAGUUUGACUGGGGCGGUCUCCUCCCAAAGAGUAACGGAGGAGCACGAAGGUUUGCUAAUGACGGUCGGACAUCGUCAGGUUAGUGCAAUGGUAUAAGCAAGCUUAACUGCGAGACGGACAAGUCGAGCAGGUGCGAAAGCAGGUCAUAGUGAUCCGGUGGUUCUGAAUGGAAGGGCCAUCGCUCAACGGAUAAAAGGUACUCCGGGGAUAACAGGCUGAUACCGCCCAAGAGUUCAUAUCGACGGCGGUGUUUGGCACCUCGAUGUCGGCUCAUCACAUCCUGGGGCUGAAGUAGGUCCCAAGGGUAUGGCUGUUCGCCAUUUAAAGUGGUACGCGAGCUGGGUUUAAAACGUCGUGAGACAGUUUGGUCCCUAUCUGCCGUGGGCGUUGGAGAAUUGAGAGGGACUGCUCCUAGUACGAGAGGACCGGAGUGGACGCAUCACUGGUGUUCCGGUUGUGUCGCCAGACGCAUUGCCGGGUAGCUACAUGCGGAAGAGAUAAGUGCUGAAAGCAUCUAAGCACGAAACUUGCCUCGAGAUGAGUUCUCCCAGUAUUUAAUACUGUAAGGGUUGUUGGAGACGACGACGUAGAUAGGCCGGGUGUGUAAGCGUUGCGAGACGUUGAGCUAACCGGUACUAAUUGCCCGAGAGGCUUAGCCA
rnacentral:rRNA from 1 species